GACGAACGCUGGCGGCGUGCUUAACACAUGCAAGUCGAACGGAAAGGCCCUGCUUUUGUGGGGUGCUCGAGUGGCGAACGGGUGAGUAACACGUGAGUAACCUGCCCUUGACUUUGGGAUAACUUCAGGAAACUGGGGCUAAUACCGGAUAGGAGCUCCUGCUGCAUGGUGGGGGUUGGAAAGUUUCGGCGGUUGGGGAUGGACUCGCGGCUUAUCAGCUUGUUGGUGGGGUAGUGGCUUACCAAGGCUUUGACGGGUAGCCGGCCUGAGAGGGUGACCGGCAACAUGGGGAUUGGGAUAGGGCCAGAACCCCUCCGGGAGCCAGAGGGGGGAAUAUUGCACAAUGGGCGGAAGCCUGAUGCAGCAACGCCGCGUGCGGGAUGACGGCCUUCGGGUUGUAAACCGCUUUCGCCUGUGACGAAGCGUGAGUGACGGUAAUGGGUAAAGAAGCACCGGCUAACUACGUG
rnacentral:rRNA from 1 species